rnacentral:rRNA from 1 species
AGUGAACGCUGGCGGUAGGCCUAACACAUGCAAGUCGAACGGCAGCACAGUAAGAGCUUGCUCUUACGGGUGGCGAGUGGCGGACGGGUGAGGAAUACAUCGGAAUCUACUUUUUCGUGGGGGAUAACGUAGGGAAACUUACGCUAAUACCGCAUACGACCAACGGGUGAAAUCAGGGGUCCUUCGGCCCUUGCGCGAUUGAAUGAGCCGAUGUCGGAUUAGCUAGUUGGCGGGGUAAUGGCCCACCAAGGCGACGAUCCGUAGCUGGUCUGAGAGGAUGAUCAGCCACACUGGAACUGAGACACGGUCCAGACUCCUACGGGAGGCAGCAGUGGGGAAUAUUGGACAAUGGGCGCAAGCCUGAUCCAGCCAUACCGCGUGAGUGAAGAAGGCCUUCGGGUUGUAAAGCCCUUUUGUUGGGAAAGAAAAGCAGCAGGUUAAUACCCCGCUGUUCUGACGGUACCCAAAGAAUAAGCACCGGCUAACUUCGUG